UUUUCCAGUGUUGACUAAAAGCAAGCAGCAAGCUUGAAGCAUUACUUAACAGUGUAAUGAAAAACGUCAGUUCAAGCAAAUACUUUUUUUUUUAACAGAAUUUGUUUUCUUUGUUGUGUUGCAGAAAAAGGAACGGUGGCUGAGUUGCACAAGUGAACCAGGACGACACAAAAUUAAGUCAAAGAGGAAUGCUCAUUUUCCUAUUUUCUGUUCAGAGACUCAGCUGGCUGGAGGCAGAGUCAGAGGUGGGUCCUGUCCCCAGUUCCAGCAGGAUCUCAUUAUCCAAGAAGAUAAUCUCUGAAAAUCAUCCUUCAAUCAGCUGAUCGUUUUACAUCCAGCUUUUUGGGAGUUAAUAACACAGCCAACCUACAGCAACACAUCACACAGCAACGGCAGCAAGGCAUCCCUGUAGCAGGGAGUGUUUUCCUGGAUGUCCUGGUGAGUUCAGCAAUGUACUGCUUGCUUUUCCCACUGUUCCAUAUGGGGUAACUAAAAGCAAGGGCUUUUGUAAGCAAGUGGAGCAACUUUUGAAUAUUCAGAGGAAUUUCUGAGGUUGUGGCUGAUUGUUGGAUGCAAAUCUACCUUCCUUUUAUCCCCUCCAGAUUUUUUUAAUGUGUAUGAAGUAUAUUGAAAGCUGGAGAAGGAAUUUUGGCAGGGAGAUGGAGUGACAGGAUAAGGGGGAAUGGCUUUGAACACAGAGCCGGGUUAGAUUAGGUAUUAGGAGGAAAUUUUCCCCUGUGAGGUUGGUGAGGCCCUGGCACAGGGUGCCCAGAGAAGCUGUGACUGUCCCUGGAUCCCUGGCAGUGUCCAAGGCCAGGUGGGAUGGGGCUUGGAACAACCCAGGACAGUGGAAGGUGUCCCUAUGGUCUUUAUUUCUAAUUAAGAUAAUCAAAAACCAAAAGGGACUUUUGUGACCUCUUUCAAGUCUUUUGCUUCCCAUCCAUUCAUGAAAUCCACCCUCAUGCUCUGUCUCUUUUCAGACAGAGCUUUGAGAAGUGGUAAAUAUUGUGUUUAGUACCAAAGACUGUAGGUCAAGCCCUUAAAUUAAUGGAACAAAUUUUUGAAAUGUGGAAAACAUAAACUGGCUAGCAGCAUGGGGGGGGUUGCAGCAGGAUGCAGAGCUCUGUAUGUUUUAGGGGGUUUGACAGAUGUUCUUGUGCAGGUUAAAAGCUGUGCAGAAUGAUGUGUUGGAAGUGUGACUUGCAAGUAAUCACCAUGUUUUGAGAACAUCCACUGCCUAAGUAGCUCCCAUGCAGACAAUUGCUUAAAUGAUUUCUUGUGGGAAGUCCUUGAAGGAGCAGAUGGAUCUGUUUGGAGUUUUGC
rnacentral:lncRNA from 1 species